rnacentral:rRNA from 1 species
AGAGUUUGAUCCUGGCUCAGGAUGAACGCUGGCGAGAUGCUUUACACAUGCAAGUCAUACGAGAGUUUUUAACUCAAGUGGCGGACGGGUGAGUAACACGUAAGAAUUUGCCUUUAGGAGGGGGAUAACAAACCGAAAGGAUUGCUAAUACCCCAUAUGCUUUCGAGUGAAAUGGAUUUUUUCCGCCUAGAGAGAAGCUUGCGUCUGAUUAGCUUGUUGGUAAGGUAAUGGCUUACCAAGGCGACGAUCAGUAUCUGGUUUGAGAGGAUGAUCAGACACACUGGAACUGAGACACGGUCCAGACUCCUGCGGGAGGCAGCAGUGGGGAAUUUUCCGCAAUGGGCGAAAGCCUGACGAAGCAAUCUCGCGUGAGGGAUGACGGCCUAUGGGUUGUAAACCUCUUUUUUCAGGGAGGAAUAAAAUGACGUGUACCUGAAGAAUAAGCAUCGGCUAACUCCGUGCCAGCAGCCGCGGUAAGACGGAGGAUGCAAGUGUUAUCCGGAAUCACUGGGCGUAAAGCGUCUGUAGGUGGUUUAGUAAGUCAACUGUUAAAUCUUGAAGCUUAACUUCAAAAUCGCAGUCGAAACUACUAGACUAGAGUAUAGUAGGGGUAAAGGGAAUUUCCAGUGGAGCGGUGAAAUGCGUAGAGAUUGGAAAGAACACCGAUGGCGAAGGCACUUUACUGGGCUAUUACUGACACUCAGAGACGAAAGCUAGGGUAGCAAAUGGGAUUAGAUACCCCAGUAGUCCUAGCCGUAAACAAUGGAUACUAGAUGUUGAACAGAUCGACCUGUGCAGUAUUAAAGCUAACGCGUUAAGUAUCCCGCCUGGGAAGUAUG